UGGCUCAGAUUGAACGCUGGCGGCAGGCCUAACACAUGCAAGUCGAGCGGUAGAGAGAAGCUUGCUUCUCUUGAGAGCGGCGGACGGGUGAGUAAUGCCUAGGAAUCUGCCUGGUAGUGGGGGAUAACGUCCGGAAACGGACGCUAAUACCGCAUACGUCCUACGGGAGAAAGCAGGGGACCUUCGGGCCUUGCGCUAUCAGAUGAGCCUAGGUCGGAUUAGCUAGUUGGUGAGGUAAUGGCUC
rnacentral:rRNA from 1 species